AUUUUUAACUACCUAGGGAUCCCAAAAUAAUUUAGUAGAUCUAGAAAAAUCCUUUUCACUUUUGAAUUCUUAUGGGCUCACGUAUUUGUAUAAGGAUUUUUAUAUUAAAAAG
rnacentral:rRNA from 1 species